ensembl:lincRNA
AUGCAAGCUGACACUGCCCAGGCUCCCUCUCCGCAACUGCACAUCAAUCCGCACACCACCCUGCAAAGGGGCAAGUACCUCUUCACUUUGCCUGCCUGUUACCUAAGAACCUGUGAGCCCUGUACCCCAAAGCUGUGUGCUCCCCAUCUUCCUCUGGUCAGGACAUGGGGUGUGGAUUUGGCAGUUCUGGGAAAUUGCAGUGUGUGCUUCUAUGCAGGGCCAGGCUGCCACUGGCAUCAUGGGCUGCUUUGGAUCCCAGAGCUGCCAGCCAGGCCUGCAAAGUGCAAUCUGUCUGGAUCCCAGCUCAGCCUGGGCUGGGCCUGUGGAGGGGACACCUGGUCUGGCUCAGACAAGCCGCAGGGAGGGAAACUUCUCCAGAGAGCACUGGAGCAGGGGGAAAAGGAGGCCCAGGAACAUGGAUUCCUGGUUUAGCUCCCACCGCCUGUCUCACCCAGACACCUAGGACAGGUACGGGUUCUGGAGGAAAAAGACCUCAGCCCAGUUCUGCUGCGGGACCAGGAGCAGCUGAAAGCCAGAGGCUUUCAAAUAGGCCAGGUUGAAGGAAGGGCCAGGACACCGGGGCUGCUCUCCGUCCAGCCUCCCACAGAGGGGCUUCAGAAGGGAUCCAGGGGCCAGGCAGCAAGAGGCACAGCCCAGGGCCCUAGAGACUGGAAGCAGGGAAGUGGGUGGUCUUGUUGUGCUGGGCUGUGCAGGGGAGGCAGACGGACCCCCGAGAACAUGGCUGACAUUGAAGAUGGAAGCCAGUCAUCCUCCUACACAUCUCUAGUCCCCCUAGUAUGGGAGGCUGAGGCAGAAAGAUUGCAUGCUCAAACCCAGGCUGGGCAACUUCACAAUUUACUAGACUGUCUUAAAAAGCAGGGUGGGGGCUGGGUAUGAAGCUCAAUGCAAAAGUUCUAUCCCCAGUGUUGGAGACAAGAAAAAAGCCAAAGGUCCAGACGUUACAGGUUCGUUCCAUUUUGCCCUCACAUCUGUGCUCUGCCCAUUGUUUUCCUCCCAGUCCAGGGUUCAAGGGAAGCCGCAGCAGGCACCAGUCUUGUCCAACACUUACAUUUUGGUGUUUCGGCAGCAUGGCUUUGUCACAUUACUUUGAUGCUCCGCAGCUCCUUGCUGUUGCAUAGCUGUGAGCCACUGCUGGGUGAUCUUGGGGAUGGAGAUUCCUUCUGCCCAGUGUUUGGGUGGCAGCCCGAGAAGCCCGGGCUUUGCAGGACGGACUCAGGGAAGAAGCCUCCAUCAAGUUGGUGACUGGAGGAUGGGCAGGAACCUGGUGACCCGGCUACCUCAGUGUUCCCCAUCCUACUCUCUUGCUGCGCUAUGGGGUUAAAUGCCAGUGUGAAUGUGGUGGGCACAGAUCUCUGUGUGCUGGGGUCCCUCGGAGGACGGGGCCUUGCGAGGCCGCCUCAGGCUCUACAUUGCCAACAGCCACUCACAGCCCCUGCACACCAGGAAGGGAGAGGAAGGGAGCUUCCCAGCCAAGCUUGUCUGUGAGGGUUCUCCAUCCAGUGUGGGUGGCAUCUCAGCAUGCUUAGCCAGUGUCCCCUCCCAGGUGGGGAUGUUCAACCCCCUGGCAGUGUCUUUGCCAGGCAAGAGUAAAGGUUAAGUCAAAGCCACUCUUCUCCGGCUCCUGCUCUUUGGUGUCCUCAGACAGCCCUGACCAGACACUGGUGCUGUCGUUUCUCGCAUCCUCUAGACAUCAUUCUGCGGUCAUUCUGUGCUUUAGCUUAGGAUCUGUACCCACUCCCUGGUGACUGAGUGAGACUGAAUUUUGGUUGUGGGUCGUUCUCUUGCCCAUGGGUCCAGGCGUUUCAGCACCAUUGGUGGGAAAGACUCUGCCUGUGCUGAGACGUGGCAGAACUGCAGUAAGGGCUUUUGUUUCUUUGGUUUCGCCUUGUCAGUGUCUGCCACUGUACAGCCGUGCCUGUGGACGCCAUUCUGUGUUUCAGGAGUGGGAGCAAGCACCUGCCUUGCCGACAUGGUGGGCCGGGGACUUAACACCGAGUGGGACAAGCCAGGCACAGAGAGGCAGUGACGACUCAAUCUGUCCUUCGUGUGGAAGGAGGGAAGCAGCUCAGGGAGCAGAGCAGCAGCGUCUCGUUAGUGGGGCUGGGUCAGAAGGUGGUGGGGUUCCAGUGUUGGGCAAAGGACACAAACUUCCCGCUUGGUCGGAUAAAUGCGCUUGAGUCUGAUUGUCUGUGGAGGGUGAUGUACUGAGUGCUAGAACAUGGUUAGUGCAGCAGACAGGAGUCUUGCACCCAAAUAAAGAUGAAUGUGUUAACUCACCCGAUGUGGCCAAUCACAGCGGACACCACGUGGAACACAUAUAUACACAGAUGUGUGCAGUGUUUGUCAAAUGACAUCAGUCGCUGGAACCCGGGACAAUUCUGCCACUGAACCAGGGCCCGGGCACCCCUAGGUGACAUGGGAAGCUUCUCUGGACCUGCCAUGAGCCGAUGGUGAAGAUAAAGUCCCAGGGCACACUCAGCUCUUGCCCCGCAACCUGCAUGUGAAACAGAAGCUCAGCCUGAAUUCAGUCACCAGGAACACGCCGGAUGCUGCGGGACAGCAGGUCGACUGAGCGCACGCGUGUGCCCCUGCAGAUAGAGUGGAGAUGAUUAGCACACUGCGUACUGAUCUUGGACACCUGGAGAAAGAGGGCCAUUAUCGGAGGGCCAGACUGAGCCCGGGACUUUGGGACACAGGCCAGGCACUCAGCCCUGCAGAUGGGCUCCUUCCUGUCCACUGGGGCUCUGGAGGCCGAGUAGCAGGCUGCUGCAUGCCACUGAGUUAGUCACGCUGCUGGAAUGAGGGUGUCCUGUCCAGACCAGAUGAGCUUCCUCUUCUCCUGGGGUAUUGCCCCCUAUCAAGGGCCAGGCCCCACAGAGCCAUGCUGGAGAUGCCAGGCCAGCCAGUGUCCGGCACCUGUGCCCAGGCAAAGACCAGCCCAGAGCCAGUUCUACAGCUCAGGGCUCCCAGCAGUGCAGCCACCCCGUGUCCCCUGGACAACAGGCAGCAGCUGAGUCCCCAGGUCUGGGCUUACUGAGCUCUUCCACACAGUUCCUAGGCCAAGAGGCUGGGCAUGAGAUCAUCCUGAAGGAUCUUUUCUUUAAUUUGCAUGAUUUUUUCCUCUCUCUAGAACAUCCUGUUAGUGUGUUCCAGUUUAUUACACAAGGGAUUCUGAAGCCAACACUCAACUCACAGGGAAGGCCCUGGGUGACUGAGUUUAGGGGCCGUAUCUCAGUGUGGUGUGCACCCCAGCACCCUACUGAAGACAGAGCUCUGCCCCUAACCCACCCCAGGCACUCACUGAAGAUGACUCUUGACUUUUGUUCUGUUCUGUUUCUUUUUCCUUUCUUUUGCUUUGCUGGCCUCAGCCCGGGACGAUUUCACACACAUACCACUGGGUUCAGACCCAGACUGAAACCCCAGACCGGGGCCUUCCUCCCUCUGGACAGAGAGGAAACAGAUGUCAAAGUGAGUAAGUGACUGACCUGAGGAAGGCAGACUGCAAGGCAGAGUCAGGAUAGUGCGAGGUGCCAGGCUGCAGCCCCUGUGAGCAACGAUUCCGUCUGAGCCGCAACGCCAGGAAGAACACGAACUCUCCUGAGAGCCUGCUCACUCUGCUCCCCCAUCACCUCCCAGCUUGCAUUUCCUUUGUGAGAGUCUCUGUUUUCCUGUUGUUUCUUUUGCCUUCUGCCUAAGAUUGGUGAGGACAGAGGUUAUUUAAAAACAGAGAGUGGCAGACACACGAGCCAAGCCUAGAGCAGACACCUCAAUUCUUCCUAGCUCACACAGCAUGGUUGCUGGGGUCUUCAUCCUGUCAUCCAUGCCUGCUGGGCCCCAGCGCCCGGGCAGUAUCCCUCCUGCCUGCCGCCAGGAACCCUCAGAGGUCUGGGGCGGUGACACCUCCCACCAGCCUGGAGGCUGGAAGUGGCAGUAAUGUGCCCUCUUCAGGCUCCAGACGACAAGGGCCGAGGUCAAGGCCUGCAGGGAGGCUCCUUUGGCUCUACUCACUGUCCUGCCUGUGUCCUGCAUGCCUGCCUGGCUCUGCUUCUGCACACGGUGUCCGCCCUCUUCCGAGUGGAGGGGAGGGGAGGGGAGGUCCCAGCAGUGCCCACCCACCCUGACCCAGCAUGACCUCAUGGCACUGGAUGUCCCUCCAAAGACUCCAUUUCCGAGUCAGGAGACUCUGGUAGAUCUGACUGAACAGCUGAGCUCCCAGCACGUGGGUGUUGGGCACCCUCUUGGGACUGAUUUUAGUACUGGCUGUGGGAUACCCCAGCAGUGUCGACAGCCGGAGCAUGUGAGCUCCAAACGCAAUGAAAACACCGUGUCCACUUCCUCCGCAGCCUCUUGAUCUCCAAGACAGCUUCCCUGGUGUGUUCCUUGUGACUCACCCCAUGGCGUUCUCCCACGGUCCACAGGGACGCUGACACAUGCUGUGUGACUGCCACGGAGCCCUCUAAGGGACCCCACCCUGGAGGAAUGCUUUCUGAGGAAACACAGUAGGGCACUCUCAAGGAGUGUGGAAACCACCACAGUGUACCCAGAGCAGCAGUAUGGUAUGGCACUAUGUGAGUGUUGCCUGUGUGUGUGUGUGUGUGUGUGUGAGAGAGAGAGAGAGAGAGAGAGAGAGAGAGAGAGAGAGAGAGACAUGAGAGAGAGAGAGAGAGAGAGAGAGAGAGAGAGAGAGAAACAAACUCAAAUAAAGUGAUAGUUUUAAAUUGCUUUCAGUCUGAGUAGAGACCAUCAGUGCAUCUGUUGAUCAGAGAAUCUUUUCCUUCCUGAAAAAAGUUACAGAUUUUGUGUUCUAAAAAAUAUGAGAACCAGUCUGGGAAUUUAGCUCAGUGGUGCUGCCCCCCGCCUUGCAAAGCACAAGGUCCAGAGUUCAAUCCCCGAUACCAAGAGAAAAAAAAAAAGGAAAGAAAGAGAAAAGAAAAAAUAUGAGAACCAACAGAAUCAGAAUCAAUGUUCCAGUAUAUUCAGAAGUCAUCAGUUAAGCAGACCCCAGAGUGUAUGUGAUUCCAAGGCACCAACAGGCACUACACUGGAGAAGCAUCCAGCUUGAGUGUGUGCCCCAGGUCCUGCCAAUACAAGAAAUCUAGAGGAAAGGGUCCUGAAAAGGCACCUGGUGGACUUGACAAAAUUAUGGGAUUUAUUCCUAAUAAGCUCAAGGUGGAAUCAGGGGCAGAGAUGCUGGGCUGAAGAGAGCUCUCUAACAAAUGUGUUAAAUACCCAGCGCCCCCACCCC